rnacentral:rRNA from 1 species
AGCGUACACGGUGGAUGCCCUGGCAGUCAGAGGCGAUGAAGGGCGUGCUAAUCUGCGAUAAGCGCCGGUAAGGUGAUAUGAACCGUUAUAACCGGCGAUACCCGAAUGGGGAAACCCAGUGUGAUUCGUCACACUAUCAUUAACUGAAUCCAUAGGUUAAUGAGGCGAACCGGGGGAACUGAAACAUCUAAGUACCCCGAGGAAAAGAAAUCAACCGAGAUUCCCCCAGUAGCGGCGAGCGAACGGGGAGGAGCCCAGAGCCUGAAUCAGCAUGUGUGUUAGUGGAAGCGUCUGGAAAGGCGCGCGAUACAGGGUGACAGCCCCGUACACAAAAGCGCAUGUGCUGUGAGCUCGAUGAGUAGGGCGGGACACGUGGUAUCCUGUCUGAAUAUGGGGGGACCAUCCUCCAAGGCUAAAUACUCCUGACUGACCGAUAGUGAACCAGUACCGUGAGGGAAAGGCGAAAAGAACCCCGGCGAGGGGAGUGAAAAAGAACCUGAAACCGUGUACGUACAAGCAGUGGGAGCCCCACCACCAAAGCGUUUCGCUUUGUGUGGUGCACAAAGAAGCGUAACGACAGCACUGAAUGACGGUUAACGGAGCGCAAGCGACGUUCAACAUACAAAGUCAAGCAGUGGAGCGCUUUGGGGUGGGGUGACUGCGUACCUUUUGUAUAAUGGGUCAGCGACUUAUAUUCUGUAGCAAGGUUAACCGAAUAGGGGAGCCGGAGGGAAACCGAGUCUUAAUUGGGCGUUAAGUUGCAGGGUAUAGACCCGAAACCCGGUGAUCUAGCCAUGGGCAGGUUGAAGGUUGGGUAACACUAACUGGAGGACCGAACCGACUAAUGUUGAAAAAUUAGCGGAUGACCUGUGGCUGGGGGUGAAAGGCCAAUCAAACCGGGAGAUAGCUGGUUCUCCCCGAAAGCUAUUUAGGUAGCGCCUCGUGAAUUCAUCUCCGGGGGUAGAGCACUGUUUCGGCUAGGGGGCCAUCCCGGCUUACCAACCCGAUGCAAACUGCGAAUACCGGAGAAUGUUAUCACGGGAGACACACGGCGGGUGCUAACGUCCGUCGUGAAGAGGGAAACAACCCAGACCGCCAGCUAAGGUCCCAAAGUCAUGGUUAAGUGGGAAACGAUGUGGGAAGGCCCAGACAGCCAGGAUGUUGGCUUAGAAGCAGCCAUCAUUUAAAGAAAGCGUAAUAGCUCACUGGUCGAGUCGGCCUGCGCGGAAGAUGUAACGGGGCUAAACCAUGCACCGAAGCUGCGGCAGCGACGCUUAUGCGUUGUUGGGUAGGGGAGCGUUCUGUAAGCCUGUGAAGGUGGCCUGUGAGGGUUGCUGGAGGUAUCAGAAGUGCGAAUGCUGACAUAAGUAACGAUAAAGCGGGUGAAAAGCCCGCUCGCCGGAAGACCAAGGGUUCCUGUCCAACGUUAAUCGGGGCAGGGUGAGUCGACCCCUAAGGCGAGGCCGAAAGGCGUAGUCGAUGGGAAACGGGUUAAUAUUCCCGUACUUGGUGUUACUGCGAAGGGGGGACGGAGAAGGCUAUGUUGGCCGGGCGACGGUUGUCCCGGUUUAAGCGUGUAGGUGUGUGUUCCAGGUAAAUCCGGUUCACUUUAACACUGAGGCGUGAUGACGAGGCACUACGGUGCUGAAGCAACAAAUGCCCUGCUUCCAGGAAAAGCCUCUAAGCAUCAGGUAACAUCAAAUCGUACCCCAAACCGACACAGGUGGUCAGGUAGAGAAUACCAAGGCGCUUGAGAGAACUCGGGUGAAGGAACUAGGCAAAAUGGUGCCGUAACUUCGGGAGAAGGCACGCUGACAUGUAGGUGAAGUGAUUUACUCAUGGAGCUGAAGUCAGUCGAAGAUACCAGCUGGCUGCAACUGUUUAUUAAAAACACAGCACUGUGCAAACACGAAAGUGGACGUAUACGGUGUGACGCCUGCCCGGUGCCGGAAGGUUAAUUGAUGGGGUCAGCGCAAGCGAAGCUCCUGAUCGAAGCCCCGGUAAACGGCGGCCGUAACUAUAACGGUCCUAAGGUAGCGAAAUUCCUUGUCGGGUAAGUUCCGACCUGCACGAAUGGCGUAAUGAUGGCCAGGCUGUCUCCACCCGAGACUCAGUGAAAUUGAACUCGCUGUGAAGAUGCAGUGUACCCGCGGCAAGACGGAAAGACCCCGUGAACCUUUACUAUAGCUUGACACUGAACAUUGAGCCUUGAUGUGUAGGAUAGGUGGGAGGCUUUGAAGCGUGGACGCCAGUCUGCGUGGAGCCGACCUUGAAAUACCACCCUUUAAUGUUUGAUGUUCUAACGUGGACCCGU